rnacentral:rRNA from 1 species
AGCGAACGCUGGCGGCAGGCCUAAUACAUGCAAGUCGAACGCGUGUAGCAAUACACGAGUGGCAGACGGGUGAGUAACACGUGGGAACGUACCCUUCGGUUCGGAAUAACUCAGGGAAACUUGAGCUAAUACCGGAUACGCCUUACGGGAAAGAUUUAUCGCCGAUGGAUCGGCCCGCGUCUGAUUAGCUAGUUGGUGAGGUAACGGCUCACCAAGGCGACGAUCAGUAGCUGGCUGAGAGGAUGAUCAGCCACACUGGGACUGAGACACGGCCCAGACUCCUACGGGAGGCAGCAGUAGGGAAUAUUGGACAAUGGGCGAAAGCCUGAUCCAGCCAUGCCGCGUGAGUGAUGAAGGCCUUAGGGUUGUAAAGCUCUUUCGGCGGGACGAUAAUGACGGUACCCG